rnacentral:tRNA from 2 species
GCCGGUGUAGCUCAGUUGGUAGAGCAGCGCAUUCGUAAUGCGAAGGUCGGAGGUUCGACUCCUCUCUCCGGCACCA